GUUCAGGUCUCCCAGCUCAGAAACGCAGGAGUCUUGUGUGGAUGACGGGGGUGCUAAGAUGGCCGCCGAGCCACCAGGCUUUCCUGACUUGGCGCCGCGGCUCGCAGUCGUGGAUUCAGGGCUCACAUCUACAAUGACUUCUCUGUUAAUGAUCCCAUCAUUGAAUGCAAGCUCACUUACCAGCAACUCCUUUGAAAGCAACACACAUACCUGGGUCUCAUUGAAGUCCUUCACCCCUACACAGUAGACGGAGGCCCCC